GAUGAACGCUGGCGGCGUGCCUAAUACAUGCAAGUCGAGCGAAUAGACGAGGAGCUUGCUCCUCUGACGUUAGCGGCGGACGGGUGAGUAACACGUGGAUAACCUACCUAUAAGACUGGGAUAACUUCGGGAAACCGGAGCUAAUACCGGAUAAUAUAUUGAACCGCAUGGUUCAAUAGUGAAAGACGGUUUUGCUGUCACUUAUAGAUAGAUCCGCGCCGCAUUAGCUAGUUGGUAAGGUAACGGCUUACCAAGGCAACGAUGCGUAGCCGACCUGAGAGGGUGAUCGGCCACACUGGAACUGAGACACGGUCCAGACUCCUACGGGAGGCAGCAGUAGGGAAUCUUCCGCAAUGGGCGAAAGCCUGACGGAGCAACGCCGCGUGAGUGAUGAAGGUCUUCGGAUCGUAAAACUCUGUUAUUAGGGAAGAACAAAUGUGUAAGUAACUAUGCACGUCUUGACGGUACCUAAUCAGAAAGCCACGGCUAACUACGUG
rnacentral:rRNA from 1 species